UACGAAGGGGGCGAGCGUUGUUCGGAAUUACUGGGCGUAAAGGGCGCGUAGGCGGCGACUCAAGUUAGAUGUGAAAGUCCUGGGCUUAACCUGGGGACUGCAUUUGAUACUGGGUUGCUUGAAUUCGGGAGAGGAUAGCGGAAUUCCCAGUGUAGAAGUGAAAUUCGUAGAUAUUGGGAAGAACACCGGUGGCGAAGGCGGCUAUCUGGACCGACAUUGACGCUGAGGCGCGAAAGCGUGGGGAGCAAACAGG
rnacentral:rRNA from 1 species